rnacentral:lncRNA from 1 species
GGAGCAAAAUAACACGCCCAGCUGCAGGCUGGGGGACAGCCAGGCUGGGAUUUCAGGGUGAGAGUUUCAGAAGGAUGGGAAAUAAUCAGGGAAGAGGCAAGGUAAGUGCCCACUUGGUGAGCCUGGCCGGGGCAGGCCUCGUGGCAUGUAGGGUCCAAGUGCUGGUGGAUGGGUCUCGUUCUGCAGCUGAGAGCUCCCCUUCUCCGUCUCUGGGAGCGGCUGGCCCAAUGGCCACUUUCAGUCUUGGCCCGGGGUUCCCUGCUCUCCAAACCGCCUGCAGACCCCCAGACAUCUUCCAACUCCUUUGCCUUUGUUCAUGCUGUUCCAACACUUGGGAGCUCUCCCCUUCCCUUACCCUCCCCAAGUUGGCCCUGUGACAGUCUGCUCACUGUUAGGAUUUAAAGCAAGAGCUCUUGUCUUUUUUUUCAAGAGCGUUUUUUCGUGCUCCCCUGCCCGUGGACUAGGAAACCCCAGGGGCUGGUCCCCACCAGGUGCCCCGCUAUUUGAGGUGCUCAAAGCCCCCGAAAGUCUGCACCACACUGUAUCUCUGUAUCUAUUUGUGGACUGCCUCCCGUCCACUCCACCCCUGUGGGCUCUUCACAGCCAGCAACCUCUGUCCCAGCCCUAACUCAGGGCCUGGCACCACCUCCAGCCUUGAAUCUGUGGCCAGGGUCACAGGGACCUGGGUCUGUGAACGUCAGUUGGAACCAAGUCCGAAAGACUUGGUUGCCCUGCAGGUGGAGGGGUCUGACCACUAACAGCAGGGUUAUCCAGCCCCCUUUCCUCCCCAGAGCCUUAAAACUUACUUGCCUUUUGCCCUGGGGACUUAGGACCCGACUGCAGGGACACCUGCUCACUGAUCAGUAUUCAGAGAUGGCUUAAGGGAGACUCAAAGCGAGCCCCUUGAUUUUACCCGCCCCACCCGCCUCCCCUGCUUGCCAAAACCAACACUAGCCAACCUGGCCAAUGAAAAGAAUCAACUUGAAAUGUGAGCCAGCAUUAAAACCAAAGCAAAGCAAACGAAACAACACAGCACAGCACAACACAAGAGACUCAGAGCCCUGACCCCUUGUAUUUCCCAGCUAUUUGACACCAACCAAAUCCCUUAACCUCUCUGUGCCUCAGUUUAUUCAUCUUUAAGAUGGACAGACUGCCUAUGUUCUGUUGGGUUGAAGAUCAAAUCAAUUUGUGUACAUGUAUACGCUUGUAUACGGCAAAGCUUCUCAAAUGUUAAUCAUUUUUUGGGACGAUUUUGUCAUGCCUUCAACCACCCGUACCAUCACUUACUUGUUAUAUUUUUGUAAAGAGAAUUCAAAUCGACUUUAAAAAAAAACAAACAAACAAACAAACCAGAGCUUUGUGGUGAAUAACAAUACCUGUAAAAUCAUGGGUUUGACGUUCUAGUUCCUUUUUUUCCCCUAUUACACAUUCAAGCACGAUUCACAGCCAGUUUGCACGCUAUGUGUGUAUGACCCAGAUCAUUUUGUUCCAGAUUUUAGGGAAGCCUGCAUCACGAAAUCUCGUUUUAUGGGGGAGUUUGCUUUGGGGUGUGAGUAACAGGAGGCAAAGCAGGGCCCUGGUCUUCCUAACCCGCUUUCCUCCCGCUUCUCAGCAUGUUUCUUCCCCAGCUUACUUUUAAUUCUUCCCAGGUGGACAGCAUGACCGCAUGCCUGGUUUGGAGUCUUAGAAGCGGUGAGGUUUGCAGUGUGGCAGGACCUGGCGGUGUUUGCUUCAAGUGGCUGCCUGAGAAAAGAAAGACAUGAGGGUGACCCAGGGAACUUUCAGGGGGCAGGACAGUGGCUGGCAGCUUUGUUAGCGUCAGCAGGAGGGGUCAGGAGAGAACAAUAAAACACAGUUGACCUGGCAAGAGACCGGGCUGGGAGCAGAAACCCUCAGAGCUUGGCUGGGGGCCCCAUCCGGCUAGCCUGACCACAGCUGACCGCUGUAGAAUCCCAUUUCUCCCAGAAUGGGCCCUACCUGCCCUGGGCCAUGGAUUCCACAUCUGGUUCGGGUCAUGGUGGGCACACCGGCGUGGACCACCUCAGCCCAGAGCACAGCCAGAGAACUCGGCCCAAACUCUGGACCAGGAGCUCGAGGUGAGCUGGCAUCUUCCCAGGGGACGGGCCCAGGCAAAAGUAACCACUCUCUUCCAGUCCAGGAGCCGUGAGCUGCGUGGAAAGAAUGUGAAUGAAGACACAAUUCUAAAUGUAGAACCUCGGACGCUAUGUGAGCUGGCUCCCUAAUCAGCCAGAAAAACAAGGCCUGCAUGUACAUUCUGCAAGAGCAUAAAUAAAGCUGUCCUCAGGCGGCGUGCUACGGCAUCCCAUCCUUGCGGUGACGUCGUUGGCCCCCACUCUCAGCAGAACCUCUGGGACAUUGUGGGAGGUGCCCAGCUGCCUGACUGCAUGGAUGAAAAUGGCCUUGCUCUUGCCUGGACACACGCGAUGCUUACUGACCUAACCCUGCAGCAAAAUGACUCUGGUCUGCCUCUGUGUUAUUCAGAAAUGUUCAAAAGCUGCUAAUGAGGACAGUGCAGAAUUUCUGGUUCUGGGUGUUUGAAGUCACAUCCCUGCAAACGGCAUGAGGCAACUCCCUCAUUUCUUCCACCAUUGUGGUUAUA